CUGGUGCGUCACUUAUGUAAUUUUUAGUUCAAAAUUUUCUUUUUUAUCUUUAGAAAUUAGAAAUCUGCCUGCAAGUAGUUAGGGAUUUGGACUUGGCAAUUGGCAUACAAUCUACAUCACUAAUUAUUUAUUUAUUUAUUUAGUUAUAAUUUUUUUAAUUGUUAUUACUAUUAUUAUUAUUAUCAAAACGUUUAAUUCAUGUACUGCCG
rnacentral:lncRNA from 1 species